AGAAGAGAGGAUCAGAUUUUAGACCUAGGAGGACCCUUCCCCUUCAGCUAGAGCAGCUUUUUCCCUUCUUCUACAUUUUGACCUCACUAUAUACAAAAAAAAAACACGCAUCAGAAGCAGCCGAAACUUUGCCCCUUUAAUCAUCGGCAGUAACACUCCCCAAAAACGGCAGAUCCAUUCUUUCUAAAAUUCGGUCGAAUCCCCAUUUCAUGAACCUGUAGACACCUCCAAUUUUCAAAAGAAAAAGGACUCAAACAAAAGGGCAUCGCUCACUUCACAUAUAUCUCGAAUCUGAGAUUUCAACUCCGAUGUGACGACUAUUCCGUUUCUUCCUUUCAAUUUCGAAUUUUUGCUUCAAAAUGGAUUUGAGUUUGACAGAGUUUGAGGUGUUCGGGUUUGAGCUUUCCGUUUGAUAUUUGCGAAAGUUUCUUGUGAGUUUUUUUUUUGGAUUAAAGUCGAGUCAGGCAUGGCUGUGUUGCUGCUGAUUCUGUUGCUAUCCGAGAUUCAAAUUUUGCCAUCUUGAUUUCUACUGCUGCAAUUUGUUCGAAUAUGCUUGCCUUCAAAUUUGGUUGAAGCUUUACAUUGUAAUCCAAGAAUGAAGAUUCAAUAUUAACAUGAAAGGAAAUUUCUCCAUUAAGGUUUAUUUUUCUACUCCCAUUUACAUUUAAUUGCUAUGUUAUGAAUAUAACUUUUUGAGACAUAUAACCUGUGAAAGUUAUUCAUUGUGAUAUUGAGUUUUUGUCACUCGGCUAUUUGCUAGUUUGGUUUAUUUACUGCUGAUUUUUUUGUUUCGAAAGUCCGUUUAUGGUUAGUUCUAGAGGGUGUGCUUGAGGCUAUUUCAAUUUUAUUUGUACUAGAGUUUAUCACUGCUCAGCUUAGUACAAAAUAAGGAUGUGCUAGAUAUUGAUUUUCUUCUAAAAAGAAAGAAAAUAUAUUUGUUUUCUCUAUUGGCUAAGUCAAUUGUAUCCAAAUUACUAGUAUAAUUUUAUGUCACUGUGUCCAAAAUUUGGUCUUUAUAUGCUAGAUCAUCACUGAUGCCCCACAACAAGGCGCUGGGCGGGAGUGGUCUAAUAUUUUCUUAAUAGUCCAUUGUUUCACUCAGAUGAUUUGUUGUUAUAUCAAUUCUAGUUGACCUGAAAAUUGGCCUACGUUGUGUUCCGAGUAAUUAUAAUAUUUGUAAGUUUCAUCAGUGGAUAGAUAUCUGUUGAUAAACAUUUGUGAGCUUCACAAUUUCAGGAAGCUAAAUUCCUUCAUGGGGUGACACAAAGAACAUUGUUUUACUGUUAGCAUAAAAUAUGGUCUUGUGUUCCUACCUCUUUUCAUUCCAUAUGGCUGGUGCUUGUGAUUGGCUAAAAUAUUACUCACUUUGAGAAGAUAUUUUUUAAAUAGUCACUCGCUAUAAUAUUGCAUUGGUAAUUGUCAAUAAGUGACAACAACUAAUAAGAAAAGAGAACAUUAUGUGUACUUGAGACUUCCUCCUAAACAAAAAGCAUUGGUAUUCCCCAAUUAUUGCCUUUGAUAUUUGGUAUCUGAAGUUAAUUGAUGAACCAUCGUAGUUUGAUUUAGGCGGGAUUAAUAAAUCAUCGUGGUUAUGGGUACAGUUUUCGUGGCAUGGUCACGAUGCGUAAUUCCCAAUUCGGGUGUGUAUUUCAUGUGACCCGAUCAUAACAACUUUGAGUAAUAAUAAAAUAAACAUGCCGCGAAUCGCGGGUGCAUUUCAUGUAGCGUGGUUUGCGGUGUGUUCCAAAACGGCAAGCAUACGACAAUCGUAACUUGCUCAAGAAAUAAUUCCAUAAAUCCUAAAUGCGUUUAAAUAAUUAAAAAUAGUUGUAAAGUUAAAAUGCAAAAUAGGCUUAAAACAUUUAAUAAAUCAGAUAAUUAGGCCAAUUUUAAUAGUUUAAGCGACCGUGCUCAAACCACGGUAUCCGAGAAUGCCUAACACCUUCUCUCGGGUUAACAAAAUUCCUUACUUAGAAUUUCUGGUUUCGCAGACUUUUAAAUAAAGUUAAUUUUCCUCGAUUUGGGAUUUAAAAAUAAACCGGUGACUUGGGACACCAUAAAUUAUCCCAAGUGGCGACUCUGAAAAAAAUAAAAUAAUUCCAUUUCGAUUAAUGUCACUUUAAUUGGAAAAACUCCCUUAUAUCCCCUCUCGGGUGGUAAAAAGGAGGUGUGACAUUAAUAUACAAAAUAAAAAUAUACUCAAUGACGGUGGAGGGAAAGAUUCGGUUGUUGAUAUAGUGCUUGAGUUGACAAUAGGACCGGUGGAAUUCAUUAUGGAGUUCCAGGUGCUGGACGUGGCCGUCUCCUACAAUUUGUUGUUGG
rnacentral:lncRNA from 1 species